rnacentral:misc_RNA from 1 species
CCUUCUCCGCCAAUCUCUUCACCUUCCUCUUCCUCUCCCUCCUCCUCUUUUCUUUCCGCUCCCUCGUCGAGAAUGGAACCCACGUCCUCACCACCUUCAUCGACCGCGACCCUUCUCUUAAAUCCCUUCUCUCCCGUCUCGACAUCGCCGGCCACCACCUCCACCCCCCAUACCACCGCAUUCACCGCCCCCCUCCUCGCCGCCACCGCCGCCCCUUCCUCCAUCUCACCCGCGUCGGAACCCUAGAUGACGAUUUCUUCUCCGGCGAUGACGAUACCGAUCGCCCCCUCUUUGGUCCUAACCGUAAGCUUCUUCCCAAUGGUAGCUUUGUAAUUCUUUACAACUUUGAUUCUGGGCUGGGAUUUUCCGAGUUUGUCAUCGAUAACGGGAUCAAGAUUGCUGAAACUGUUCGUUCUGGGGUUCAAUUCAAGGUGGAGAGUCUUGAUAGUAGCGAUAGGGAAACUAGUGAUUAUAGUGACAAUGAGAAGGAAAAGGAAGAGGAAAAUGGAUCGGUGGGUUUAGAGAAAGGUGGAGAUUUGGACAGGAUAGUAGAUUUGCAGUUCUUUAUUAAGGGAUUGGAGCUGGGCCGGCGUGACGCUGCUGCUUUGUUUUUU